rnacentral:rRNA from 1 species
CCUACGGGAGGCUGCAGUGAGGAAUAUUGGUCAAUGGACGAGAGUCUGAACCAGCCAAGUAGCGUGAAGGAUGACUGCCCUAUGGGUUGUAAACUUCUUUUAUAAAGGAAUAAAACGAGGCACGUGUGCCUUUUUGUAUGUACUUUAUGAAUAAGGAUCGGCUAACUCCGUGCCAGCAGCCGCGGUAAUACGGAGGAUCCGAGCGUUAUCCGGAUUUAUUGGGUUUAAAGGGAGCGUAGAUGGGUUGUUAAGUCAGUUGUGAAAGUUUGCGGCUCAACCGUAAAAUUGCAAUUGAUACUGGCAGUCUUGAGUACAGUUGAUGUAGGCGGAAUUCGUGGUGUAGCGGUGAAAUGCUUAGAUAUCACGAAGAACCCCGAUUGCGAAGGCAGCUUACUAAACUGUGACUGACAUUGAUGCUCGAAAGUGUGGGUAUCAAACAGGAUUAGAUACCCGUGUAGUC